rnacentral:lncRNA from 12 species
UCGCUCCAGCUCAGGACUUUACAGUUAGCUUUCCUGAGGUUGGACCACCAAGACACAAGUGCUCGGCAAGGCAAGGAAGAAGUUUCUCUCGAAUUCGAUUGGGCUGAGAUAAGUCACAAGAGGGAUGGGGAUGGUGCCGAGAGGGAGGCACUGACUACACAAACAGUUAUUAGGUCACGUCUGCUGACAGAGCUUGUGAACUCACUUCUUCCUAAGGGCAGUGUGAUGCCACUUCCCCAGUGGACAGUGAUGGUUCUUCCUGCCUUCAGAUCUUUCAGGCUAGCCAGAGCAUGAUCCAGAGAAGCACAAGGAAUGCCAGCAAUCAAGACAUUUUCACCCAUCAGAUCUCCUCUUCUCAAGUCAAUACCUCCAAAACCAUUCUGAAAGGCUCCUAGGCUCUUUAAGAAGAGUGUCAUUAUUCAAACAAUUCAUUCAGACAAAUAAAUACUGAUUCAAUGUCUACUGUUCUGAAGAC